rnacentral:rRNA from 1 species
UGGGGAAGUAUUCGCAAUGGGCGAAUGCCUGACGCAGCGACGCCGCGUGUGGGAUGAAGGUCUUCGGAUCGUAAACCACUGUCAGAGGGGACGAAGGCCCGGCGUUAACUGCGACCGGGAUUGACGGUACCCUCGGAGGAAGCACCGGCUAACUCUGUGCCAGCAGCCGCGGUAAUACAGAGGGUGCGAGCGUUGUCCGGAAUCACUGGGCGUAAAGGGCGUGUAGGCGGCUGGGUAAGCCGCGUGUGAAAUCCCGGGGCUCAA